rnacentral:rRNA from 1 species
UACGUAGGUGGCGAGCGUUAUCCGGAUUCACUGGGCGUAAAGCGCGUGCAGGCGGCUUCGCAAGUCAGAUGUGAAAGCUCCUGGCUCAACUGGGAGAGGCCAUUUGAUACUGCGAGGCUUGAGGUCGGGAGAGGGACGUGGAAUUCCCGGUGUAGUGGUGGAAUGCGUAGAUAUCGGGAGGAACACCAGUGGCGAAGGCGGCGUCCUGGCCCGCACCUGACGCUAAGAAGCGAAAGCGUGGGGAGCGAACGGG